CACACAGCUCAACUGUGUAUCAGCAGUGGAACUUCAGACUUGAGUAUGAGAGAGGUAGAGGAUUCUAGUGAGCGUGGGAAUGCGUAGAUAUUAAGAAGCACACCGAUGGCGAAAGCACUCUACUGGCUCAUGACUGACACUGAGAGGCGAAAGCUAGAGGAGCGAAAAGGAUUAGAUACCCUUGUAGUUCUAGCCGUAAAUGAUGGAAACUAGGUGUGGGGAAUCUAUUCACUCAGUGCCGUAGUUAACGCGUUAAGUUUCCCGCCUGGGAAGUACGCUCGCAAGGGUGAAACUCAAAGAGAUUGACGGGGACCCGCACAAGUGGAGGAGUAUGCGGUUUAAUUCGAUGCAACGCGAAGAACCUUACCAGGGCUUGACAUCCUGCGAACCUCUGGGAAACCGGAGGGUGCCUUCGGGAACGCAGUGACAGGUGGUGCAUGGCU
rnacentral:rRNA from 1 species